rnacentral:lncRNA from 1 species
GCGCAGAUGCGCAGGCUGGUCUGGAUCCAUGCUGGUCGCAAAUGCACUAUGUUGGUUUUCUCAUGGUGCGGCUCAAUUGAUUUUUUUCUGCAGAUUUAUGAUAUUAUCUUAUGUGAUAUUAGUGUACCAUUAACUCUUAUCAUGCUGGACACGAUUGAUAUUUGUGUACCUUUAACCCGUAUCAUGCUGGACAUGAUUGAUUCUGCCUUUGCGAUCAGUGUAGAUCAUGAUCAGCCUGCACAUCCAUGCAGUCUGAUCAAGAUCUGCACUGUUCACCAUUCAGUCAGUAUAUUUUGGUAAGAACCCCUUUUAACAGUUAAUGACACAGUCUGAAUUGAAAGAUGGGACAAGUUCAUUAUAGAAAUUUAGCAAGAUAAGGGUUGAAGAUAUUUUUAGUGAAUUAAUUUAUUUAAUGUUAAGACUGUUCUAUUCAUUUGUAAGUAUUGGUAAAUCUAUGAUUUUGAAACAACGUAUACUUCCCUCUUACCUUUCAGAACGUACAAUUUGUUUACUUCCAUUAAUGUGGAAAAAUUCAUGAGUAGAUAUUAAUCUGGAGAUAGCGUCCAAUACCAAGGUUCUUCCUAUGCAUUUUAUUUCAGGGAUUGCAAUGUAGAAUUGUUUGUCCUCCACAUGCUUUUAAUGUUUGAAAAUUGUCUGUAUGGGAAAAGGAAGUUAGUAUGCAAAGAUUUAGUAUGCAGACUGUUUUGGACAGUUGUCCACAAAAUAUUGGCAAAGUAGGUUAAACAUAGUUAUGCGUUUAGUGAACACUGCAUAUUGAGAACUGACUGAGUGACUGGACCUAUCAGGGUGGUUAUCUAAUUUGUCAAAGAUAUUUUGCCAUUAAGCAUUCUGACAAAGUUUCGUGAACAUUGGAUGAAAACUUCCCCUGUUGCUGAGCAAAUAUUGUCACCAUUCACAGUUUAAAGUCAUUUAUGGGCAAUAACUCCAGGGUAACAUUGACAAUCCAGCUGGUUAUUGAACUUGACUGAGAUAUUAAUAUACUCACCAAUAUUUUGAUCAAGUUUCGUGAACUUUAGAUAAGAACUUUUCAUUUUUUGUGGAUAGUCUGCUUGCUUCUGCAGGGGAUCCCAUAAUACGUCUCGUUUCACGGGGGUAUAUAAAAAACAAAACAAACUUAAUUCUACAAGAAUCGAGCUCAGGAUGUGUGUCACUUACACUUAUGGGAACAAUCUACAAAGAUGAAUUGUUUCCAAAAAUCACUCGGGUGUAAAAGAACCUCAGUUUUAUAAUCUUUGUGAUUAUCAUACCUCAUCAACAAAGAAAUAUAUUUUAGGUAUUACAAAAAUAUGUAUUACCAGUCCAGCCCUUGGUUUAUUGACUUUAGUUAGGAAUGAGGAAUUGCCACCAAAGUUUAAGUUUAUAGGUAGCUUGAAUGGAAACCAAAGGUCAGUAAUCAAAUUUUGGGUUGGUUGGGUCAUGUUUCAAAAAAAAUAGAAAUAAUAAAUUGUUAUAAGAAAUAUAGGCUAUGAGAAAAUAUGAACAUUCUUAAAUAGCUGUUUUACUUGAAAGCAGAUUUAGAAUUUUGUGUAUGGGAAUGGAUUUUCCCAAUUUUUCCGGAGGUGUGCUCCUAGCAUCAUUUUCAUUUAAAAAAAACAAGGGUCAAAUGAUGCAUUUUGACUAAUACUGAACAUGAAUAGUGUGCAGUAAAGCUACCCCAAUGUUGACUUUUUUUCACGUUGAUAGAUAGCAAUAAGAUUAAAGUUCAGAGCCAACAAGUAUCAACUCUGGGUAGUUUAUGUUAAUGUGAUACUAGAAGUUUUAGUCGAAGUUGUGUUUGAUUUUUAUUCUCCCUGUGUCAAAGACCCAGGAGGCAUGAAGUGUUUGUAUUGUCCGUCCAUCACACAUUUUUGUGUUAUAAACUUCCAGAGUUUCCAUUCAUUUCAGCUGAAAGAGUUUCACCUAUGAUCCUAAAAUUUGGCAUGCACAGUGCUUGUAGGCAGAGGACGACCCCUUAAUUUUGAGAUCUGUAGGUUAGAUGUCGAGGUUUCAGUGACUGUCAGUGCAACAAGCACAUUCACCAGGUAUCCCUCUUGAUUUUGUGGUUAAAGGCAAUGGUAACUGUCAUGCUGAGUGCUUAGAUUGGCAUAUUAUGUGGUGAUGCUGGUCGUCCUUCUGUCUUCUAGCAGUUUAACUUCUGCUCAGUAACUUUAUGAUUGCUUUGACCUGUAUCGCCAUAUUUGACAGGCAGAUUGCUUCAGGCAUAUUUUGAUCUGUAAAGUGGUACACUUUUUUUCGCUUUAUAAUAUCACAUCUGUACGUUUUGGUAUUUGGUCCAAACAAUUUUCAAGUGAUUCAGGUCAAAGUUGUUUUUCAACAUCCGUGUCCAGAGUGUUUCUGGGAAAACUUGUGGAGGAAAAAAAUUGGAACUGCUACCUUACCUUUCCAUGAUGAUCAAGAGAGGCGCCUUAUUAAAUGGGGUCCGACUAUUUAGUUCUGCUGUAUAUCUGUGAUUUCAGAGGAUGUGAAAGUUUUGAUUCACAGCUUAUAUUUUUAUUUUGAUGUAAAUGAGGUGUGAAAUCAAAAUUUUUAGUCCUUUUUUAGUGACAUACAACUUUGUUGGUGUACCAUAAAACCCAAGUCAGCAAAUUAACAUUACAUUAUCAACAUAAAGUGGACAUGGGCACCGUAAUAUUUGGACUUUCAUAUGCAUUUAUUCUUUUGGAGUUAACCUCUUUUUUUGAACCCUUUCCAGCACUUUCAGGUGGCAUAUAUCAUACAGUGUUGACGUCAUUCUUGUUGCUUAUACUUUUGUGAUAUUUUUGUUAGUGCUAAUCAUAUUGAGAGAAUUGCAAUAAAUAUCUGAAUAUAUUUUAAAUGUUUGAUCUAUUAGACUAGUAAACAUGUAUAUCUUA